CUGAAUGUUUAAAUUUUGAGGUUAUAAUAUGUGAAAAGAUUAUUUUGACCAUUAAGAGAAACGAGUCUUUCGUUAUGUGUUUGGGAUUCCCCAUGUUUCAUAUUUGGUGUUUUAUAUAGUGUUUUGACGAUGUGUUUGAUGUCAAUUAUUUGGGUGGAUUUCUAGUGUUAGCUAAAGUUCCUCAACUCAUUAAUUAAUAUGAAAGAUUUAAGCAGGUGGCAG
rnacentral:lncRNA from 1 species